CAGCAGCCGCGGUAAUACGAAGGGGGCUAGCGUUGUUCGGAUUUACUGGGCGUAAAGCGCACGUAGGCGGAUCGAUCAGUCAGGGGUGAAAUCCUGGAGCUCAACUCCAGAACUGCCUUUGAUACUGUCGAUCUCGAGUCCGGAAGAGGUGAGUGGAAUUCCGAGUGUAGAGGUGAAAUUCGUAGAUAUUCGGAAGAACACCAGUGGCGAAGGCGGCUCACUGGACUGGUAUUGACGCUGAGGUGCGAAAGCGUGGGGAGCAAACAGGAUUAGAUACCCGUGUAGUCCCUGUCUCUUAUAU
rnacentral:rRNA from 1 species